GAUGAACGCUGGCGGCGUGCCUAAUACAUGCAAGUCGAGCGGAGGGGGGACGGGUGAGUCAUACGUGGAUAACCUCCUAUAAGACUGGGAUAACUUCGGGAAACCGGAGCUAAACCGGAUACUUAUCGAUGGAUCCGCGCUGCAUUAGCUAGUUGGUAAGGGAACGGCUUACCAAGGCAACGAUGCAUCGCCGACCGGAGAGGGGGAUCGGCCACACUGGAACUGAGCAACGGUCCAGACUCCUACGGGAGGCAGCAGUAGGGAAUCUUCCGCAAUGGGCGAAAGCCUGACGGAGCAACGCCGCGUGAGUGAAGAAGGUCUUCGGAUCGUAAAACUCUGUUAUUAGGGAAGCGGUACCUAAACAGAAAGCCACGGCUAACUACGUGCCAGCAGCCGCGGUAAUUC
rnacentral:rRNA from 1 species